rnacentral:rRNA from 1 species
CUACGGGGCGCUGCAGUGGGGAAUAUUGCACAAUGGGCGCAAGCCUGAUGCAGCCAUGCCGCGUGUAUGAAGAAGGCCUUCGGGUUGUAAAGUACUUUCAGCGGGGAGGAAGGGAGUAAAGUUAAUACCUUUGCUCAUUGACGUUACCCGCAGAAGAAGCACCGGCUAACUCGCGUGCCAGCAGCCGCGGUAAUACGGAGGGUGCAAGCGUUAAUCGGAAUUACUGGGCGUAAAGCGCACGCAGGCGGUUUGUUAAGUCAGAGGUGAAAUCCCCGGGCUCAACCUGGGAACUGCAUCUGAGACUGGCAAGCUUGAGUCUCGUAGAGGGGGGUAGAAUUCCAGGUGUAGCGGUGAAAUGCGUAGAGAUCUGGAGGAAUACCGGUGGCGAAGGCGGCCCCCUGGACGAAGACUGACGCUCAGGUGCGAAAGCGUGGGGAGCAAACAGGAUUAGAUACCCCAGUGUC